rnacentral:rRNA from 1 species
CUGGCUCAGGACGAACGCUGGCGGCGUGCCUAAUACAUGCAAGUCGAGCGAACAGAGAAGGAGCUUGCUCCUUCGACGUUAGCGGCGGACGGGUGAGUAACACGUGGGCAACCUACCCUAUAGUUUGGGAUAACUCCGGGAAACCGGGGCUAAUACCGAAUAAUCU